rnacentral:lncRNA from 1 species
GACCAUCCUGAGCUGUUCCUAUUAUUUGUAAGAAAGCAGUGAUAUUUUCGUAUGCUUCUCUAUGGAAAUGGAUUUAUUUAGAAUUUUCUUCUUUUUUGGUUUGGGCAGAGGAGCGUCACCCUGUGGCCACCAGAAGCACAGGCUUAGGAGGAGUACUUCCAGGCUACCGCCAAUGACCCUUCAAAGCUCAAAGGCUCUUCAGUCAGCUUGUGUUUCUGUCAGUCAGAAAUCCAGUGGCAGCUUAGCUGGGACCUCCAAUUUAGUGUCUUUCAUGAGGCUGCAAUCAAGGUGUCAUCAAGAGAUGGAGUCUCAUCUGAAGGCUCCACAGAGACAGCAAGACCAACUCUUCCCCUCAGGAGGAGGAUGAAAGAGGCUGAGGAGAAGGAAGACUUUUAUGAUGAUCCACUUCCACCUAAUCAAUACUGUUCUAAGGCUUUUAUCAUCCACAGUUAUUAUUUUACUUUUAUUUUCCUCAAAAAGGGUUUAUAAUCAGCCACAAGUCCAAAAUUUGUUUCUUCUUCAAGGAAAUUAAUGGACAGGAUUCUGAUAAGUACUCCUGAAUACAGGUUCCUGAUAACUUGGGAAACCAUACCACUGGACUAGGUAAAAGCUUCCAGGACUUUAAUUAAAAAGCAGAUGUGUUCAUGAGAAUUGCUAACCCAGCAUCAAACAGAACAAUAAUUAAUUAUAUGAAACUAACAAAGGACUGAAAUAAUUUUUAUGUCUUUUUUGUUUGAAACAUUGAAGAUUCCUUUUGUUUUGUUUUUCAAAAUCAAGAAAACUUUUUCUUCUUUUUAGCCAUUGAUAGCUUAUAGCAACUGUGCAAUGUAUACAGAAUGUACACACCUUGAUAUUUACAUUUUGAUCAUCAAUGCUUAAAAUGGGAAAAAUGAGAAAAGAAAAUUACUUUUAUCUAAGGAAUGCAAGUCUUUUUAACUAUCAAGCCCAAAGAGACAUUAAAAUGAGAUUGCAAUCACACCUUACUCUCUGCUUUGAGCUAUUUAUCCAUAUCCUGAAACUACUUACUAUUGCCACGAGUAGUUGCAAAUUAACCUAAUAUUGCCACAUCAGACAUUAUAAUCCACACCCUACAGCUUACUAAUGUGUAAGUGUAUAGCCAAUCAUGAAUCAAUGUUAUUUUCUUAGGCCAAUGAGAAUUCUUGACAAUU